GAGUUUGAUCGUGGCUCAGGACGAACGCUGGCGGCGUGCUUAACACAUGCAAGUCGAACGGAAAGGCCCUGCUUUUGUGGGGUGCUCGAGUGGCGAACGGGUGAGUAACACGUGAGUAACCUGCCCUUGACUUUGGGAUAACUUCAGGAAACUGGGGCUAAUACCGGAUAGGAGCUCCUGCUGCAUGGUGGGGGUUGGAAAGUUUCGGCGGUUGGGGAUGGACUCGCGGCUUAUCAGCUUGUUGGUGGGGUAGUGGCUUACCAAGGCUUUGACGGGUAGCCGGCCUGAGAGGGUGACCGGCCACAUUGGGACUGAGAUACGGCCCAGACUCCUACGGGAGGCAGCAGUGGGGAAUAUUGCACAAUGGGCGGAAGCCUGAUGCAGCAACGCCGCGUGCGGGAUGACGGCCU
rnacentral:rRNA from 1 species